UAGCGUAGGGGGCAAGCGUUGUCCGGAAUUAUUGGGCGUAAAGAGCUCGUAGGCGGUGUGUCGCGUCGGCCGUGAAAACCCGCGGCUUAACUGCGGCUUGCGGUUGAUACGGCGGGCUAGAGUUCGGUAGGGGAGACUGGAAUUCCUGGUGUAGCGGUGAAAUGCGCAGAUAUCAGGAGGAACACCAAUGGCGAAGGCAGCUCGCUGGACGUGACUGACGCUGAGACGCGAAAGCGUGGGGAGCAAACAGG
rnacentral:rRNA from 1 species